AGCGGAGGAAAAGAAACUAACAAGGAUUCCCCUAGUAGCGGCGAGCGAAGCGGGAAGAGCUCAAAUUUAUAAUCUGGCACCUUCGGUGUCCGAGUUGUAAUCUCUAGAAAUGUUUUCCGCGUUGGACCGCACACAAGUCUGUUGGAAUACAGCGGCAUAGUGGUGAGACCCCCGUAUAUGGUGCGGACGCCCAGCGCUUUGUGAUACAUUUUCGAAGAGUCGAGUUGUUUGGGAAUGCAGCUCAAAUUGGGUGGUAAAUUCCAUCUAAAGCUAAAUAUUGGCGAGAGACCGAUAGCGAACAAGUACCGUGAGGGAAAGAUGAAAAGCACUUUGGAAAGAGAGUUAACAGUACGUGAAAUUGUUGGAAGGGAAACGCUUGAAGUCAGACUUGCUUGCCGAGCAAUCGGUUUGCAGGCCAGCAUCAGUUUUCCGGGAUGGAUAAUGGUAGAGAGAAGGUAGCAGUUUCGGCUGUGUUAUAGCUCUCUGCUGGAUACAUCUUGGGGGACUGAGGAACGCAGUGUGCCUUUGGCGGGGGUUUCGACCUCUUCACACUUAGGAUGCUGGUGGAAUGGCUUUAAACGACCCGUCUUGAAACCACGGACC
rnacentral:rRNA from 1 species